UACGUAGGUGACCAGCGUUGUCCGGAUUUACUGGGCGUAAAGAGCGCGCAGGCGGUCGUUCAAGUCGAGUGUGAAAGCCCCCGGCUCAACUGGGGAGGGUCACUCGAUACUGAUCGACUUGAAGGCAGGAGAGGGAAGCGGAAUUCCCGGUGUAGUGGUGGAAUGCGCAGAUAUCAGGAGGAACACCGGUGGCGAAGGCGGGAUCCUGGGCCAGUACUGACGCUGAGGAGCGAAAGCGUGGGGAGCAAACAGG
rnacentral:rRNA from 1 species